rnacentral:rRNA from 1 species
AUGCACCGCGCCGGCGAGCGGCAGCGACGUGAACUCUGGCCACGUCCUGUCGUCCGGCGAGCCGAGGACGCGGAAGAUAGUGCGGAGCUGACGUACCGCAUCGUCCCUUCUCACGUCGCCCUUGAACAGCGGCCUGCCGGUGAGUAUCUCGGCCAUGACGCACCCGAGCGACCACGUGUCCGCCCCCGCGUCGUAGUCCGGCUUCCCCAGGAGCACCUCGGGCGCCAUGUACGGCAGCGUGCCGGCGUCGCUGCACCGCGUCCGGUCGGCCGUGCGCAGGGACAUGGCGAGUCCCAGGUCGCAAAUCUUGAGGAUCUUUCCCCCUUUCCCGACGAGGACGUUGGAUGGCUUGAGGUCGCGGUGGACGAUGCCGAGCCUGUGCAUCUUCUCGGCGCCGGUGAGCAGCCGCCACAUGUAGGCGCACACGAUGGGCUCCGGGAGUGGCGCCCUCUCCCGCAAGAAAGCGUGGAGGCUCGGCCCGGCGACGUACUCCAUGGCGAGCCCGAGCCUUGGGGUGGCCGGGUCGCAGACGAGGCCGUGGGAGCCGACGACGUAAGGGUUCCCGGCGCAGGCCGUGAGGAAGCCGGCCUCGCGCCGGAGCUCGGCUGCGGCGUCGGCGGGGUCCUCGGAGCCGCAGGGGAACUUGAUCGCGACGGUCCUGCCGGUGGCGCGGUGGCGCACCCUGACGACGGUGCCGAAGCUGCCCUUGCCGAGGCAGGGCGUGUCGUCGAACUCGUAGUCCUCGGUGCUGCCGAUCCGGAUGCGCCUCCUCUUGCAGCCUUUGGUGGUCGUCGCGCGGGCGUGGACGGCGGCAGGCCGCUUGCGGACGGCCAUGGCGGCGCUUGGCUGCUACUGGUGCUUUUGGUGGGCUGCGGGAGCGCGUGGCGCAGGCGGAGGGGACGGCGGGAGCGGCCGAUCGAUGGGGGCGCGCACUUCCGCGUGGAUCGGCGCCAUCCCUAG